rnacentral:rRNA from 1 species
GAUGAACGCUGGCGGCGUGACUAAUACAUGCAAGUCGAGCGAAGCGGGGACGGGUGAGUAACACGUGGAUAACCUCCUAUACGACUGGGAUACAUUCGGGAAACCGGAGCUAAACCGGCUCCUUAUAGAUGGAUCUGCGCUGCAUUAGCUAGGUGGUAAGGUAACGGCUUACCAAGGCAACGAUACAUAGCAGACCUGAGAGGGUGCUCGGGCACACGGGAACUGAGACACGGUCCAGACUCCUACGGGAGGCAGCAGUAGGGAAUCUUCCGCAAUGGGCGAAAGCCUGACGGAGCAACUCCGCGUGUGUGAUGAAGGUCUUCGGAUCGUAAAACUCUGUUAUUAGGGAAGCAGUACCUAAUCAGAAAGCCACGGCUAACUACGUGCCAGCAGCCGCGGUAAUUC